rnacentral:rRNA from 1 species
AUUGAACGCUGGCGGCAUGCUUUACACAUGCAAGUCGAACGGUAACAGGUUAAGCUGACGAGUGGCGAACGGGUGAGUAAUGCAUCGGAACGUGCCCGCUCGUGGGGGAUAACGCAGCGAAAGCUGCGCUAAUACCGCAUACGAUCUGAGGAUGAAAGCGGGGGACCGUAAGGCCUCGCGCGAUCGGAGCGGCCGAUGUCAGAUUGGGUAGUUGGUGGGGUAAAGGCCCACCAAGCCGACGAUCUGUAGCUGGUCUGAGAGGACGACCAGCCACACUGGGACUGAGACACGGCCCAGACUCCUACGGGAGGCAGCAGUGGGGAAUUUUGGACGAUGGGCGAAAGCCUGAUCCAGCAAUGCCGCGUGCAGGAAGAAGGCCUUCGGGUUGUAAACUGCUUUUGUACGGAGCGAAAAGGUCCUUUCUAAUACAAGGGGCUCACGACGGUACCGUAAGAAUAAGCACCGGCUAACUACGUGCCAGCAGCCGCGGUAAAAC